AACGAACGCUGGCGGCAGGCCUAACACAUGCAAGUCGAGCGCCCCGCAAGGGGAGCGGCGCACGGGUGCCUAACGCGUGGGAAUAUGCCCUUGGGUGCGGAACAACGUCUGGAAACGGACGCUAAUACCGCAUAAUGACUACGGUACAAAGAUUUAUCGCCCAAGGAUUAGCCCGCGCUGGGUUAGCUAGUUGGUGAGGUAACGGCUCACCAAGGCAACGAUCCAUAGCUGGUCUGAGAGGAUGAUCAGCCACACUGGAACUGAUACACGGUCCAGACUCCUACGGGAGGCAGCAGUGAGAAAUAUUGGACAAUGGGCGAAAGCCUGAUCCAGCCAUGCCGCGUGAGUGAUGAAGGCCUUCGGGUUGUAAAGCUCUUUCGGUUGUGAAGAUUAUGACGGUAGCAACAGAAGAAGCCCCGGCUAAAUUCGUGCCAGCCGCCGCGGUAA
rnacentral:rRNA from 1 species